rnacentral:rRNA from 1 species
GAUGAACGCUGGCGGCGUGCCUAAUACAUGCAAGUCGAGCGAACAGACGAGGAGCUUGCUCCUCUGACGUUAGCGGCGGACGGGUGAGUAACACGUGGAUAACCUACCUAUAAGACUGGGAUAACUUCAGGAAACCGGAGCUAAUACCGGAUAAUAUAUUGAACCGCAUGGUUCAAUAGUGAAAGACGGUUUUGCUGUCACUUAUAGAUGGAUCCGCGCCGCAUUAGCUAGUUGGUAAGGUAACGGCUUACCAAGGCAACGAUGCGUAGCCGACCUGAGAGGGUGAUCGGCCACACUGGAACUGAGACACGGCCCAGACUCCUACGGGAGGCAGCAGUAGGGAAUCUUCCGCAAUGGGCGAAAGCUUGACGGAGCAACGCCGCGUGAGUGAUGAAGGUCUUCGGAUCGUAAAACUCUGUUAUUAGGGAAGAACAAAUGUGUAAGUAACUAUGCACGUCUUGACGGUACCUAAUCAGAAAGCCACGGCUAACUACGUG